rnacentral:lncRNA from 1 species
GAAUAGAGCCAACCCAUUAUGACCCAACAGGAAAAUCCAGGGUGCACCCAACCUUACUCUCUGCUGCCCCUACUGUUGGCCCAAGUGGCAUGUUCUCUGGCACAGGCAGGUCACAGAGCAGGUGGGAAAGGCUGCCUUGUGAAUGUAGGAACUCAGGAAGAUGCCCAGGCACUAAGCCUUCUCCUUCCCAACACAGAGAGAGUCCACAAGAGAAGGUGGAGACCAUACCCACAGCUGAUCACCUCUCGGCAAAGCAAUUCUUUCACUUAGGUCUCUAACAUCUCUUGUGUCUUCCCACUGACUGGUAUGGGUAGAUAUUUCAGAAUUCCCUCCCUAUCCAGGCAUGUCACUACAGAGAGAUGAGGCUGGCCAUGCCCAGGGUGAGUGAGAUCUGGGAUGCAGAAUGCUAUGAGCUGUCUGAGCCAAGAGGAACAGAAGCCUCCAUGGCCUGCCCAGCAUCACAUAGCAACAGGGCUAAGAAUAGAUCUCAGGCUCCUGCUGCCCACCCACCCCCAGGCUCUCCUCCAUCCUUCAAUGAGUGCAUGUGAUGCUGGCCCUCCUGCAGAGCCCCCACUCAUGCAUGGGAGGUGACUACACUUCAUUCAGCCCAUUGAUGCUGCUUGGGGGUGCAGGGCUUGGUUUGUGUUCAGGAAAAGUAGAGGGAACCUUCCCAGAACUCGCAGAUCUGCUCUUGUGAAGAAACGCCAUGGUCCCACUUGCCCUGGACAGCCAUUAGCCCAGAGGCUGUGUAUUGACUGACUUCAGAAUCUCAGGACCCAGGGAGAAGAUGGCCAUCUAUGAACUAAAAAGUGGUCCUGAACUAAUGGGGGAUGCUGUUAGCAUCCCCAUCUUGAACCUGCAACUUCUAGAACUCUAAGGAACAUUUUUGCCUGCCGGCCUGUGGCAUGCUAAGGUCCAGGUUUUUAUUCGUGGAAAGAACACUGAGGGACAUGGCUGAGGAGCUGAGGACGGGCUUCAUCACUGAACUAGUCUGGAAUUCCUCCAAUAUCGAUGUCCUCCCUGGGGACAGAGAGAACAUGGGUCUGUAGACGGUCAUGCUUACACAGCGCUGUGUGAAGGUGACCACGAAUGUGGUGGUGGCAGAGACCCUAAGCUAACUGAGGCUGUUGGUGGAGCCGCCUGGGAAAGUGGAAAACCCUGAGCAACAAACACUGCUAUGUCUGGGAGAACAAGGACAGAAGGAUUGUAUUUGGUCCUUGGGGUACCCAUGUGGGACUGGAGGAAAAGCUUUCAUAGUGGGGUCCCGUCACAACACCAUUGGGAAAGAAGACUGCUUCGGCAGUCUUUCUGAAAUGCUCACCUACAGAUCUCUGAGCACUGUGGACUCCCAUCCGCUCCAGCUUUCCAAAGCUACCUCUCUCCCUGGGAAUCUAAGCCUUUUGCCCACACACUCAAACUCCACCCCAAAGCAUGCUCACUGAACUACUCCAAUUCCAACCUCCCUUUUCCUAUUGACAACAUUUCCGUGGCCCAAUCUGAGCAAACAGCACAGUGGAGGAGAGCGGAUGUCUGUGAGCUAGCUAGUGAUUAAGCCAUGACCAGCACGCAUCGCUUCAGUCAUCAAAAUUUCAUGAAGUGCCCGUCGGCAAAAGCCACUACAGUGAUUCCUCUAAGAGGAGAGCGUCAAUAUGGCGUCCACGGCCAGGCCAAGUGUUUACUAAUGUGCUGAUUCGAUGAGAAGAAAUCGCUUCCCUGUGUUCAAAGAGAGGAGUGGGAAAAAUAUAGAAAUAUAGGCAUCCUAGCUGCCCUCUUUCUCCAUAAGGCAAGAUUUCAAAUAAUGAGCAGAUCUACAACAGAUGGGCUGGGUUUUAGCACUCCUGAGGGGGAGCACAUGGAGCCAGUCUGUCUCUCUCUAAAUCUAAAGAGAACGUGAGCCAGCGUCAGUGAGAGCAUCUCCCUCCCUCCCUCCCUCCAGAAUGCUUCAGUAUCUGUUGUGUAAACAACAGCUCUGUUCUUGAAGGCUCUUGUGGCAAUGUGGUUUUCCUGAUCUCAGCCGAAACAACACCUCAAUUACUUCCAGGCCUCUCAUUUUCCUGCUCUUCCCAUUUUGGAAUUUUGGAGGAAGAAAAUAAACAAACAAAACAAGAAACCUCAACAAGACCUCAUGACCUUGAUUCCAGCAUGAGACUUUGACAGCCAUGAGAGCUCAUGGAAGAAGCUGAAUUGCUUCCUCCCACAAGCUGGACUCCAGACUGACCAGCUUGGCCAGGGCUGUGUGAAGUACAGCGAAGAGACCAGUGGAGCUGGGCUACAGGUCCCCAGAAAUACAGGUAGCAGACUGCUGCCCCAGUGAGAGUGGACCAUUUAAUGCGCAUGCCCGUGCACUAAAAACUAGUGCACCCCUGUGAUUUCCAGGCAGAAGAACCUCCAAGGUUAAGCGCAACCCCCAAGUCUGCGGGGGAUUCCUUCCCAGCACUGUGCCUUCAACACCGCUUCAAAAAACCUUUAAAAAAAAUAUAUAUGCUAUUGUUUGCAAAAAAAUUAAGAAUAAAUACAACUGGAGA